GAUGAACGCUAGCGGCAGGCUUAACACAUGCAAGUCGAGGGGCAACACGGGUAGCAAUACCUGGUGGCGACCGGCGCAAGGGUGCGUAACGCGUGAGCAACAUGCCCUAUACAGGGGGAUAAUCCAGGGAAACUUGGUCUAAUAUCCCAUAGUAUUUAGAGGUGGCAUCACCACUAAAUUAAAGCUUCGGUGGUAUAGGAUUGGCUCGCGUGACAUUAGCUGGAUGGUGGGGUAACGGCUCACCAUGGCGAUGAUGUCUAGGGGUUCUGAGAGGAAGACCCCCCAACUGGGACUGAGACACGGCCCAGACUCCUACGGGAGGCAGCAGUGAGGAAUAUUGGACAAUGGAUGGAAAUCUGAUCCAGCCAUGCCGCGUGCAGGAAGACGGCCCUAUGGGUUGUAAACUGUCUUUUAUAUGGGAGCAAUAAGGUUUACGCGUAGACCGAUGAGAGUACCAUAUGAAUAAGAUCGGCUAACUCCGUG
rnacentral:rRNA from 1 species